UCCAGGCGGCGGCGGCGGAAGAGGGGAGCGGCGAUUGUGGACCGGACAGAGUAGGGGUUGGGUAGUCUGUUUCUCACGCGUUGUAGAGGGGACUCGGAGGGGCCUUUCAGCACCUCGCUUUCCUCCUCGCGGCCCCCAUCUUCUCUCUCACCGACUCACCGGGAGGCUCGUAGCUACUCCGCAGUCGUUACAGCGAACCCCGAAACCUCCGGUGCUUGUGCACGCACUUCCAGGGACCAGCAGCACGUCACCAUCACUUUUUGAGAAGUGAGUGAUCGUCAGCCGAAACCGUUGCUGGAGUGAUGCCUGAGCUAUCAGCGAGACCAUCUGAAAUUACGAGGGCUUUUUUGGAAACUUCAGCAGAGUCUCUGCUUCCCAGAAAAAUAAUUGCUGCUCAAAGUAAAAUUAGUUUUCUUUGAAAUAAUAACUCUCUCUCUAUUCGUUUGUAUAUUGCUCAACUCUUCCCUCUUGCUUGAUAUUUUUGGACCUGAAAAAGAGCAUUUGCAUCUGUAUUAGGACUCGUAUAGUUUCAUAAAGUGAAAAUUGUUACUUCCUUUCUAGUUGAGUUAUAGAAUUUACUAAUGUCAAGUACACUUCAUUUGGGGUAAAUAAAGUUUCUACUUCCCUUGUUUUGUUUCUUUUAUAAAAUCAUCCUUCCAAAAACUGACUGUAAUCCAAUUUAAAAUUUAUAACUGAAGGGAAAGGGACAUCUGUCAGUCAAAAAUAGCAGGAAAAAUAAGCGUACUGUGAAAUUAUAGAUGACUUCUAUGUUCAUAAGUUACCAAGUAUCUCCAUGAAUUAGUAGAUCCUGUGUGAAUUUAUUUAAACUCUUAGGUGAUGCUGAUGUAGCCAGUAGAAAAUGUUUUGCCUGGUGUUCGUUUUAUUAAACAUUCUGCUUCAUUGUGUUCUUUUUUACUUUGGGAAAAUUCAAGAAGGAGCAAAUCUUCUUAUGUCCUUCC